rnacentral:rRNA from 1 species
AAUGAACGCUGGCGGCAUGCCUAACACAUGCAAGUCGAACGAAGGCUUCGGCCUUAGUGGCGCACGGGUGCGUAACGCGUGGGAAUCUGCCCUUGGGUUCGGAAUAACAGUUAGAAAUGACUGCUAAUACCGGAUGAUGUCGUAAGACCAAAGAUUUAUCGCCCAAGGAUGAGCCCGCGUAGGAUUAGCUAGUUGGUGGGGUAAAGGCCCACCAAGGCGACGAUCCUUAGCUGGUCUGAGAGGAUGAUCAGCCACACUGGGACUGAGACACGGCCCAGACUCCUACGGGAGGCAGCAGUGGGGAAUAUUGGACAAUGGGCGAAAGCCUGAUCCAGCGAUGCCGCGUGAGUAAUGAAGGCCUUAGGGUUGUAAAGCUCUUUUACCCGGGAUGAUAAUGACAGUACCGGGAGAAUAAGCUCCGGCUAACUUCGUGCCAGCCGCCGCCGUAAAAC